GCAGACACAAAGGGCUCGAGUUGGUUUUGACUUUUCUGCAUGAUACUGAAAUUAUUUGGCUAGAAAAGUUAUAUCUAGUCAUUUUUUUUUUGUAUCCAUGUAAUUGUUUGAACAUCUCUAUGAUUUCUAUUUAAAUGCAGUAAUCUGUACUUAUGUGACACGUACAGAUGUAUAUUUCUGAUUGACAAGGCUAUUGAAAAUUUUCUGUUUGAUAAUCAGUUUAUUUGUCACGAAGGCACCAUACACAUGCU
rnacentral:lncRNA from 1 species